rnacentral:rRNA from 1 species
GACGAACGCUGGCGGCGUGCUUAACACAUGCAAGUCGAACGGAAAGGCCCUGCUUUUGUGGGGUGCUCGAGUGGCGAACGGGUGAGUAACACGUGAGUAACCUGCCCUUGACUUUGGGAUAACUUCAGGAAACUGGGGCUAAUACCGGAUAGGAGCUCCUGCUGCAUGGUGGGGGUUGAAAAGUUUCGGCGGUUGGGGAUGGACUCGCGGCUUAUCAGCUUGUUGGUGGGGUAGUGGCUUACCAAGGCUUUGACGGGUAGCCGGCCUGAGAGGGUGACCGGCCACAUUGGGACUGAGAUACGGCCCAGACUCCUACGGGGGGCAGCAGUGGGGAAUAUUGCACAAUGGGCGGAAGCCUGAUGCAGCAACGCCGCGUGCGGGAUGACGGCCUUCGGGUUGUAAACCGCUUUCGCCUGUGACGAAGCGUGAGUGACGGUAAUGGGUAAAGAAGCACCGGCUAACUACGUG